rnacentral:rRNA from 1 species
UGGGGAAUUUUGCGCAAUGGGCGAAAGCCUGACGCAGCAACGCCGCGUGGGUGAUGAAGGUCUUCGGAUCGUAAAACCCUGUCGUCAGGGACGAAGGUUCUGGGGUGAACAGCCCCAGGAUUUGACGGUACCUGGAGAGGAAGCCCCGGCUAACUUCGUGCCAGCAGCCGCGGUAAUACGAAGGGGGCUAGCGUUGCUCGGAAUUACUGGGCGUAAAGCGCACGUAGGCGGACCGAUAAGUCGGGGGUGAAAUCCUGGAGCUCAACUCCAGAACUGCCUUCNAAACUGCCGGUCUUGAGUUCGGGAGAGGUGAGUGGAACUGCGAGUGUAGAGGUGAAAUUCGUAGAUAUUCGCAAGAACACCAGUGGCGAAGGCGGCUCACUGGCCCGAUACUGACGCUGAGGUGCGAAAGCGUGGGGAGCAAAC